AGAGUUGAUCAUGGCUCAGGAUUAACGCUGGCGGCAUGCCUAAUACAUGCAAGUCGAAUGGUUAGCUUGCUAACCAUGGCGAACGGGUGAGUAACACGUAGGUAACCUGUCUUCAAGACGAGGAUAACCAUUGGAAACGAUGGAUAAUACUGGAUAGGACAAAUCCCCGCAUGAGGAGAUGUUUAAAGGAGCAAUCCACUUGAUGAGGGGCCUGCGGUGCAUUAGCUAGUUGGUGAGGUAAAGGCCCACCAAGGCGAUGAUGCAUAGCCGGACUGAGAGGUUGAACGGCCACAAUGGAACUGAGAACGGUCCAUACUCCUACGGGAGGCAGCAGUAGGGAAUUUUCGGCAAUGGGCGUAAGCCUGAACCCGAGCAAUGCCGCGUGAACGAUGAAGUAUUUCGGUAUGUAAAGUUCUUUUAUUUGGGAAGAAAAAACAAAUUGACGGUACCAAAUGAAUAAGCUCCGGCUAACUACGUGCCAGCCGCUGC
rnacentral:rRNA from 1 species